rnacentral:lncRNA from 1 species
AUAAACCAGGGACGGAACAAACAACAGCAGCAGCGGUCGCAGGGAAACAGAAUCUGUGUUGGCGUGCAGGGAGCAGGCAGCGUCUGCAAAGUAGCGCUGGCAACCACAACAGAGAGGCCAGCAACAGGAGGAGCAGGAGGAGCUAGCCAAUGAAGCGUGCUGUGGAGGACAAAGAGCAGCAGAGGCAGGAAGCAGUGACAAGGAGUGAGCUGGGAAAUUCCAGCUGCCCUCCUGUCCUACUUACAAGGAAUAGCCUGGAACAAGUACAGUUGACUCUGAACAAGUCAGGUUUGAACUGCAUGGGUCCACUCAUAUGAAGAUUUCUUUCAACGAAAGCUACCCCGAGUGUGCCUGCCUUUCCUGCCUCCCCUUCCACCUCCUGCACCUCUACCAUCCCUGCCACCCCUAAGACAGCAAGGCCAGUCUCUUCUCUCUCCCCCUCCUCCUUCAGCCUAUUCAACUUGAAGAUGACAAGGAUGAAGAGCUUUAUGAUGAUCUACUUCCCCUUAAUGAACAGUAAAUAUAUUUUUUCUUCCUUACAAUUUUCUUAAUAGCAUUUUCUUUUCUCUAGCUUACCUUAUUGUAAGAAUACAGUGUAUAAUACAUAAAACAUACAAAAUAUGUGUUAAUAAACUGUUUAUGUUAUUGGUAAAGCAUCUGGUCAACA